CAGCAGCCACGGUAAUACAGAGGGUGCAAGCGUUAAUCGGAAUUACUGGGCGUAAAGCGCGCGUAGGUGGUUUGUUAAGUUGGAUGUGAAAGCCCCGGGCUCAACCUGGGAACUGCAUCCAAAACUGGCAAGCUAGAGUACGGUAGAGGGUGGUGGAAUUUCCUGUGUAGCGGUGAAAUGCGUAGAUAUAGGAAGGAACACCAGUGGCGAAGGCGACCACCUGGACUGAUACUGACACUGAGGUGCGAAAGCGUGGGGAUCAAACAGGAUUAGAUACCCCAGUAGUCCCUGUAUCUUAUAC
rnacentral:rRNA from 1 species